AGAUGGUCAGACAGGAAGAAGAGCCAGAUCCAGCAUGGUUUUAAUAGCCACAGGAUCCUACUGCACCUACUCUUUCAUACGGUUGCAUAAAGAAGCCAUUUUUGAUGUGAAGAUCAUUCUAUCCAGAUUUGGCAACUUUCUUCACACAAAUUGGAGCCUACUGAAGAUGGACCUGCCACUUCUAACCUACUUCUCAAGAUCUCCAGCAGACCUCCUUGAAUAGGAUUCUACAAGCUGAGAAGGAAAACCAGCUCUGAGGGAAGAUCCCGUGCUGUCUAAAGGAAGCUACCCAGGAAGAAAAAUGAGAAUAAUUAAAACCCUAAAUCUGUACAAGAAACAUUCACAGCUGAGACUCUCAGCCAAGAACAGAGAUAAUGCUAAUGAUU